GGGGGCGUUUUUUGGAUUCGACGGAGAUAGUUCGAGCGUUAGUAGCGAGCCGAGGGGCUGCGUCCUUCGUAAAAACGCGGAACGCCAAAUGUAACUGGCAAACAAGAAAACUUUGCUCUGGCUGCUUAAUUAAGCUAGUCAGGAUCCGCUACUCUAUCGCCCAUGUAGAGUAAUCGGGUCUCAUUAACAGUGGGAUAGCCAACCGGAGUCGUUGCCGGCCGGGCGGUGAAACAAAGGUAACUAGCCGUAAGAAUCGCCUGUCACUGGGCAGUUCAUACGUGUGAAAUUUGAAUACAGUGACUGCGCUCGGAGAAUCUGGCGUGGCGAUAUCUUCGGACAGCGGUUCGACUCCGCUCGCCUCCACCA
rnacentral:tmRNA from 1 species